CCCUCCCUCUGGCGGCAUGCCUAACACAUGCAAGUCGAACGAGACCUUCGGGUCUAGUGGCGCACGGGUGCGUAACGCGUGGGAACCUGCCCUUAGGUUCGGAAUAACUCCCCGAAAGGGGUGCUAAUACCGGAUAAUGUCUUCGGACCAAAGAUUUAUCGCCUUUGGAUGGGCCCGCGUUGGAUUAGCUAGUUGGUAGGGUAAAAGCCUACCAAGGCGACGAUCCAUAGCUGGUCUGAGAGGAUGAUCAGCCACACUGGGACUGAGACACGGCCCAGACUCCUACGGGAGGCAGCAGUGGGGAAUAUUGGACAAUGGGCGAAAGCCUGAUCCAGCAAUGCCGCGUGAGUGAUGAAGGCCUUAGGGUUGUAAAGCUCUUUUACCCGGGAUGAUAAUGACAGUACCGGGAGAAUAAGCGCCGGCUAACUCCGUG
rnacentral:rRNA from 1 species